rnacentral:rRNA from 1 species
UCCUUGACUAGGGCUACACACGUGCUACAAUGGUUGGUACAACGAGUUGCGAGUCGGUGACGGCGAGCUAAUCUCUUAAAGCCAAUCUCAGUUCGGAUUGUAGGCUGCAACUCGCCUACAUGAAGUCGGAAUCGCUAGUAAUCGCGGAUCAGCACGCCGCGGUCGAAUACGUUCCCGGGCCUU